UACGUAGGGUGCGAGCGUUGUCCGGAUUUAUUGGGCGUAAAGAGCUCGUAGGCGGUUUGUCGCGUCGGCCGUGAAAACCUGCCGCUUAACGGUGGGCGUGCGGUCGAUACGGGCAGACUGGAGUUCGGCAGGGGAGACUGGAAUUCCUGGUGUAGCGGUGAAAUGCGCAGAUAUCAGGAGGAACACCGGUGGCGAAGGCGGGUCUCUGGGCCGAUACUGACGCUGAGGAGCGAAAGCGUGGGGAGCGAACAGG
rnacentral:rRNA from 1 species